UUCCUGUGUGACCCUGGGCCAGUCCCCAAGUGUUUCAGCAUCUUCACCUGUGAACAGGUCUUACUUUGCACGGCAUACUGCCCGCCACAAUGGUGAAGCCAUAACAAGACGAGCUGGAAGAAAGUCCUUGUAGCAAAGAAAAAAUAGGAAGCAUUAUGUUACAUAAGCUCAACUGGCCAGCCCUUCACAAAGUUAGAAUGCAGACUCCCAGCAGGAAGCCGAGGUUCAGGAAGUCUGCAGCCCUUUGUUAGAGACGUGCUUUUACAGGCUUGCUCCGCUGGGCACAGAAGUGACUUUCAGGUGUCAGAGACGUGCAAGUUUCAAGCUGUGCAGCCUUGCUCGAGUCAUGUUUCCUCUGGGCCGCAGCUCCCACACCGGUUAAACUGCAGGCUGUGUAGGUGGACGUGUGCGGCAGGAUGGCGUCAGAACUCCUGUCUCUGCUACCGAUUUCGCGGAAGAUCCACCCACUUCUGUUUUGCCACCUGCAGCGACAGUUUCUCCGUGCCUCGGUUUACCCAGCUACAGAACAAGUUUUGAAACCCCUUUCCCUCUUGCAGCUUGCUUCCACUCCCAGCGGAUGCAUAUAUGAGUCCCCAAAUUCGGAUGCUACGGGAAGGCGAAAGAAGUCACAGAUUGGAAAUAAUGCGUCAGAGUUUCAAAUCUCACGCAGUCCAGCGGCAACAGCCCCCUUUGAGUAGCCAGUGUUUUUGUUUGAGCACAGCUGCGCGGUCUGUGCGAUCUGUGCCCAAAAGAAGAGCAAUCUGAACACCUAGGAUGUGCCAGGCUUUGUCCUAGGGGUUUUAUAUGCUUCAAUGCACUUAAUCCCCCUUGUAAUUCAGGGAAAUAAGCUGCCCUGUCUCUUUGUAAUAAAGUUGAAGUUGAAACCGGUGAGUGGUGGGUAUAUUUACAGCUGGUCCCA
rnacentral:lncRNA from 1 species